rnacentral:rRNA from 1 species
GACGAACGCUGGCGGCGUGCUUAACACAUGCAAGUCGAACGGAAAGGCCCUGCUUUUGUGGGGUGCUCGAGUGGCGAACGGGUGAGUAACACGUGAGUAACCUGCCCUUGACUUUGGGAUAACUUCAGGAAACUGGGGCUAAUACCGGAUAGGAGCUCCUGCUGCAUGGUGGGGGUUGGAAAGUUUCGGCGGUUGGGGAUGGACUCGCGGCUUAUCAGCUUGUUGGUUGGGUAGUGGCUUACCAAGGCUUUGACGGGUAGCCGGCCUGGGAGGGUGACCGGCCACAUUGGGACUGAGGUACGGCCCAGACGCCUACGGGAGGCAGCAGGGGGGAAUAUUGCACAAUGGGCGGAAGCCUGAUGCAGCAACGCCGCGUGCGGGAUGACGGCCUUCGGGGUGUAAACCGCUUUCGCCUGUGACGAAGCGUGAGUGACGGUAAUGGGUAAAGAAGCACCGGCUAACUACGUG